AACGAACGCUGGCGGCAUGCCUAACACAUGCAAGUCGAACGAGACCUUCGGGUCUAGUGGCGCACGGGUGCGUAACGCGUGGGAACCUGCCCUUAGGUUCGGAAUAACUCCCCGAAAGGGGUGCUAAUACCGGAUAAUGUCUUCGGACCAAAGAUUUAUCGACUUUGGAUGGGCCCGCGUUCGAUUAGCUAGUUGGUAGGGUAAAAGCCUACCAAGGCGACGAUCCAUAGCUGGGCUGAGAGGAUGAUCAGCCACACUGGGACUGGGACACGGCCCAGACUCCUACGGGAGGCAGCAGUGGGGAAUAUUGGACAAUGGGCUAAAGCCUGAUCCAGCAAUGCCGCGUGAGUGAUGAAGGCCUUAGGGUUGUAAAGCUCUUUUACCCGGGAUGAUAAUGACAGUACCGGGAGAAUAAGCUCCGGCUAACUCCGUG
rnacentral:rRNA from 1 species